CGUGUGGGCAACCUGCCCUGUACUGGGGAAUAAUCAUUGGAAACGAAUGACUAAUACCGCAUGUGGUCCUCGGAAGGCAUCUUCUGAGGAAGAAAGGAUUUAUUCGGUACAGGAUGGGCCCGCAUCUGAUUAGCUAGUUGGUGAGAUAACAGCCCACCAAGGCGACGAUCAGUAGCCGACCUGAGAGGGUGAUCGGCCACAUUGGGACUGAGACACGGCCCAA
rnacentral:rRNA from 1 species